rnacentral:tRNA from 1 species
GGGGGCGUAGCUCACUUGGUAGAGCGCUUGAAUGGCAUUCAAGAGGUAAAGAGUUCGAUCCUCUUCGUCUCCACCA